rnacentral:rRNA from 1 species
GACGAACGCUGGCGGCGUGCUUAACACAUGCAAGUCGAACGGAAAGGCCCUGCUUUUGUGGGGUGCUCGAGUGGCGAACGGGUGAGUAACACGUGAGUAACCUGCCCUUGACUUUGGGAUAACUUCAGGAAACUGGGGCUAAUACCGGAUAGGAGCUCCUGCUCCAUGGUGGGGGUUGGAAAGUUUCGGCGGUUGGGGAUGGACUCGCGGCUUAUGAGCUUGUUGGUGGGGUAGUGGCUUACCAAGGCUUUGACGGGUAGCCGGCCUGAGAGGGUGACCGGCCACAUUGGGACUGAGAUACGGCGCAGACUGCUACGGGAGGCAGCAGUGGGGAAUAUUGCACAAUGGGCGGAAGCCUGAUGCAGCAACGCCGCGUGCGGGAUGACGGCCUUCGGGUUGUAAACCGCUUUCGCCUGUGACGAAGCGUGAGUGACGGUAAUGGGUAAAGAAGCACCGGCUAACUACGUG